UGGGGAAUCUUGCGCAAUGGGCGACAGCCUGACGCAGCAACGCCGCGUGAGGGAAGAAGGCCUUCGGGUCGUAAACCUCUUUCAGGGGGGACGAAGCUUUGCCGGUGAAUAGCCGUGUGAAGUGACGGUACCUCCACAAGCAGCCCCGGCUAACUACGUGCCAGCAGCCGCGGUAAUACGUAGGGGGCUAGCGUUGUCCGGAAUCAUUGGGCGUAAAGCGCGCGUAGGCGGCCAUUCAAGUCGGAUGUGAAAGCCCUGGGCUCAACCCAGGAAGUGCAUUCGAUACUGCUUGGCUUGAGUAUCGGAGAGGUUGGUGGAAUUCUCGGUGUAGAGGUGAAAUUCGUAGAUAUCGAGAGGAACAUCGGUGGCGAAGGCGGCCAACUGGACGAAUACUGACACUGAGACACGAAAGCGUGGGGAGCAAACAGGAUUAGAUACCCGUGUAGUCCCUGAGCGGGCUGGCAAGGCGCAU
rnacentral:rRNA from 1 species